rnacentral:rRNA from 1 species
CGCUGGCGGCAGGCUCCAACACAUGCAAGUCGAACGGGCACCCGGGUGUCAGUGGCAGACGGGUGAGUACACGUGGGAACGUACCCUUCGGUUCGGAAUAACUCAGGGAAACUUGAGCUAAUACCGGAUACGCCCUUUUGGGGAGGUUUACUGCCGAAGGAUCGGCCCGCGUCUGAUUAGCUUGUUGGUGGGGUAACGGCCUACCAAGGCGACGAUCAGUAGCUGGUCUGAGAGGAUGAUCAGCCACACUGGGACUGAGACACGGCCCAGACUCCUACGGGAGGCAGCAGUGGGGAAUAUUGGACAAUGGGCGCAAGCCUGAUCCAGCCAUGCCGCGUGAGUGAUGAAGGCCUUAGGGUCCUAAAGCUCUUUUGUCCGGGACGAUAAUGACGGUACCGGAAGAAUAAGCCCCGGCUAACUUCGUGCCAGCAGCCGCGAGUAAUACGAACGGGGCUAGCGUUGCUCGGAAUCACUGGGCGUAAAGGGCGCGUAGGCGGCCGAUUAAGUCGGGGGUGAAAGGGCCUGUGGCUCAACCACAGAAUUGCCUUCGAUUGGUUGGCUUGAGACCGGAAGAGGACAGCGGAACUGCGAGUGUAGAG